AAAAAAAAAAAAAAAAAAAAGAUGUAACACCAUGUAACUAGCAUAAACCCACUAUUCUAGGACAAUAUGAGGAGCAAUUCCCAUUGGUGUUUCCUGUCAGAGUCAGCCUUUUAUAUUAUUUUCUCUGGUCAGUAGGGAGUCACCAAAUGUCUCUGUGUCUGGGCAAAGAGACCAACCAAAACUCGUGACUAAGGUCCCAAAGGCAUUUCCCACAAGAACCUUUGAGGAGGAAACGGCAUUCUUCUGCCAGCUGACCUGGCCUGCUUGCUGCCUGCUCUCUUCUAGAAGGGUACUUCAGGGAGAAGUCCUAGGUUCCCUGACACACAUAGACACACCAUGUAUGGCAUGGCACACAGUUGGGGCUCAGUAAGUACAUCUAGGAGGACCCAUUACAGAAAGAGCAAAUCCUACUUCCCAUAGGUCCCGGCCUCCUCAAACAAGGUCUCACUUUCACAGAGAUCACCUUCCUCUGCCUCCUGAGUGCUGGGAUUAUAGGUGCGCACCACCAUACCCAGCUGAAGUGACUUCUAGUUGAUUUUAGUUACAGCCCAAACUUGCAGGAAUCCCAGCAGCUCCGCCCACUAAAUCGAAAUGAAUAAACCCAUUUCAUGAGUGAGGGAGAGAAACACAAGAGUAACCAGCACAAAACCACGAGGUCACCAGGCAGGACUGGGUUCCAAGGCCUGGCCUUUCACACUCAGAGCAAUCAGGAAAUGGGGCUUCUGGUCACAGCAGGGCCAACACCAGCCAUCCUGGUGCCACAUACAUUCAAGCUCUCCCUGGCUUCCUGGAGCUGCCUAUGGCUGCCCCCACCUGAACUGGCACUGAAUGAGAACAGCUUGUCAUCCAGGAUCCCGUAGGUUUCCAGUGCCUACUAGCUGCGAAACUUCUGGCAAGCUCCACACUGGGGGCGCUGUCUGUGUGUGUGUGGGAGAGGGGUAUUUCCUUGUCCGUUAACAGAGCUCAGGGCAGUUGUUCCGGCCUCAAGGGGUGCUAGAAGGAUCUGCAGUGUCAGCAGAACCAGUGUACAGCCAGCUCUGUGUGGCCAGGAGGUCUCGGUGGCCUCAAAUUCCCAAUCUUCCUGAUGAAAUGAAGUACAAGCCUGGCCUACAAGAUGCUUAUUUUCUUAAAGCUUCCUUCCAAUAAGACACUCUCUCAUGGAGAAAGACAUUUAAAGUCUGUAUCAACUGGUCCUAGUGCUGUAGGUUACACAAGAAGCCAACUCAGGAGGCUUGCCAUAAGCUGGAGGCUAUCCUUGGCUACAUGUGGAGACUCUGUCUCAAAAAGCAAAAACAACCCUAAUAUAACAAAAAGCCUUUUAGCUCUUAAGAGGGCACACUCUUCCAUGAGACAGGAGUAAACCGUGAGGUCCUCCAGGGAGUCCGUAUGAUAUAAAACAUGUACUACACGCAACUACCUUUCAUGCUCACGCACGUAGAUUGGUUAUAGACAUCAAGGGUUUUAAGACAGGGUCUCAUAUAUCUCAAGCUGGUCUUGAACUCUCGAUGUAGCUAAUCUCAUAUCUCUCUUCCGAUCUUGAACUUCUACUUGUAACUGGGCUUUCAGGUGCCUGUCACCAGGCCUAGCUUAAGCACUAUCACUGAUGCAAGCCCGGCUUCCUGCAUGCUGGGCUAGCACACUACCAACUGGGCUGCAGCCCCAUCCCCCAAGAGCCUUUUGAUAUAUCCUGGUAUGUUCUGAAUGGGCCCAAGCCUAAGGGAGAAUCAGAACAGCACGGCUAGGGACGGUGGGUAACUUGUACUGGGGUCCACUUCAGGAGCACAGCACAUUCUUGGCCCAGCUCUGCCUUCUCACCACUGCCCUUUUGGGGUCCCAUGACAGCUCUAUCCAUUCAACAGAACUUGGGUGCAGGAGGCCCUUGACUCCAGGGUACCUAGAAAGAUCUGGGAAUAAGGGAACCUAGCCCAGAUCCUACUUUACAGAACAGAAACCAUGGGGUUCACAUGACAUCCUCCGUGGAUGCCAACACGUGUGGACCAGACUAUACCCAAGUCUGUUGGUUCAGGCCACAGGACCUCACGUUCACAGGAGACCCUAAGGUGUGGGCUGCUUACAUCUCCGUAAGGAGGGCUAACCAAUCGGGCACGGGCACAGGUGAGGGGGAGGAGACAGGGAAGACUGCACUCAGAAUCAAGUCUUUGCACGUGGCUGGCUAGAUGGCUCAGCAGUUAAAGGCGUUUGCCACCAAGCCUGAGUUCAAUCUCCAGGGUCUACAUGGCAAGAGAAUCAGCUGUCUUGAGUUUCCUCUGACCUGCACACACACACGGGCUCACAUCCUCCCUCAGAUACUCACGCACAGUAAGUGCAACUUCUUAAAGUGUUUUGGGCUCAACUUGAUGGUGCAUGCCUUUAAUCCCAGAUUUAGGAGGCAGGCAGAUCUCUGUGAAUUCCAGGGCUACAUUGAGAGCCUAUCUUUUUACAAGGCUUCUCCAUGUAGCCCUGGCUGUCCUGGAACUGGCUCUGUAGAUAAAGCUGGCCUGGAACUCAGAGAUCUGCCUGCCUCUGCCUCGUUUUAAAACACUACCAGAAACCGUUUAGAUGGUGGGAAGGGAGCUCACUCCUGAAACCCUCACACUUGGGAGGCUGGAGGACAGCUGAAAUUUCUGGGCAAGCCUGUGCUGCAUAGUAAAACCAAAGUCCCAACACAGAAAGUUGAGUUUUUCUUCUACUUAUUUCUUGUUUUUUGAGGCAGGCUUUCUGCGUGCAGCACCACUGCCAGGUUCAAUGGCCCUUUUUAGACAAGGUCCCAUGUUGGCCUCGAACUCCUGAUCUGUCUCUAUUUCCCCAGUGCUAGGAUCUGAGGUUUGGGACACACCCAAUGUCAAUAAGUUUAUCUUUAAUAACCCAAUCCCUUUUUCCCAGCUUGUCUUUGGAAAGCAGGGCCACACCAUGGAACUGUGGAAGGAUAUAUCAUGCAGGCCAGCUGACCUUGAAAUUAUCCCUCUAUUCCAAGUGCCAGGAUUAUGGGUGUGGGCUCACACCUGGCGUUAAACUUUAAUUUAAUACUGCUGUUUCCAGGAAACGUUCCAGGAAGUGCAAGGGAAUCCAAGGAAGAUUCCAUCUCACUAGUUCUAAGGGCUUGGGAACAGUCCAAGGACUGAGAUUUAUCAGACUGCUUCUUGGAGGGGACCUUUUGGAAGGUCACUGGAGACACAGAGAUGACUGACGUCCCUCUAAAUCCAUGCUUCACCUAGACCUGAAUUAGCUUUGAGCUGAGUUAUUUUGUUAUAAAGGACUGUAAUGGAAAUGCAGAUGUCCCCACCCGCUGAGGGCUUGCCCUGUGGAUAUUAACUAUGUUUUGUGUCAGUCUGUAAAUUCAUUUCAACUUAUCAGAUAGCUUGCAAUUUGAGAGUUCUUAGCCUAAGGGCUGUAUAGGGUGGGGGCUGGAGAUAAGGCAGGGACUAGUCCCAUUUGCUGGAAGUUCAUUUUUCCCCCAAAAAAGGUUAAACAUUUUAGCAUUAGCAUGAACAUUUCAGUAUUUUAGAUUUUUGCUGUUUGCUAUGCUGGAGGCUGUUUUUCCCCUCCCCACGACCUUAUAAUAAAGUGGCAGCUGCCCGUCCUCUUGGAUAAGCUUCAAGGUCUGCACACCUUGAUGAUGUUGCUUUGACGGUCAACUCACCGGCUUUAAUUCUGGGAAAUCAACAUUCAUCCAGGAAGCACAAAACACACCACCUACAUUACAUCGAUGUCUUUAGGUGAGACUGGGUGACUGCAAUGCUCUGAAAACCAGGGUUUCCCCAUCGGAAUGAAGUAUCAAAUACAUCAUAGACCACCCUCCAAUCUGUGCUACAGGAGAGCCUGUCUCAAAAACAAAAUAAACAAACAGAACCGCCCUAAAGGUGGCCUACUUAGUUCUAGGCCAGAAUGAAUGCAAGACACUUUUUGCUAAGUGUUCAAUUCCCAGAUCCCACUAGUGUAAGGAGAGUCUCCCUCCACAAGCACUCUUAUGCAAACGCAUACACACAAUGCAGAACGAAUACGCCCAAGGUAACUCAGUACCUGAAGAAUGACAGCCGAGGUUCACAUACACCCAUGAAAAGGAGGUGCCAAGCUACAGGCUGACUUUAUGCCCCCCACCACACACACAGGUCCAGGAUGGACCUAACGAACCACUGUCAAGAACCAGGGGAACGCUAUGCAAAUGGAACACACCAGAAAAACCACAGACAAACCUGGUGGGCACAAACCUGGUGGGGGAAAGAAAAAACUCAAAUUUUAUUUCUGGACAGACAGUAUCAGCAGGUAAAACUACAGCACAGUUCACACAUUCAUUCACAGGGUGUGAGAAGCCACGGCUGGCGUGUCCUCUGUAACAAUACCACUUCGGUGUGAACAGUGAACAGGCUAACCAGCAAACCCUUUAUCACAGGCUUCACUUAACAAUCCCAGAAGGAAAGGCACAACUCGGCAGGAAAAAAAACACAAAAGUUUUGGAUCCUAAAAUCAGGUGCAACAAGAGGAAAGGAAGUUGGUGGACUUUUGAGCCUCCACCCUCAGUUUGGCAACGGCAUUCCACGGGGCAGGAAGAAAUCUCCUACCCAGGAGCUAGAAGUGUGUCCCUCCUCCCUCAUUAAACCAUCAGAACACUGUUACAACAGCUGCUCGAAAUUAUUACACAUACAAAAAAUGUAAUAAAAAAAUAAAAUAAAAUACAGAAUCAACCAUGGAGACAUCUUGAACAUCAGGCUCUUCUCACCACAUUAACUCCUAAAUUUAAGACCUGGAAACACUGUGUGGUCACAACAUAGCAAAAUAGACUUUUUUGGCUACAAAAAUAAAAAUAAACGAGGUAGAUAAAUAAGCCCUCACAUCCAAGACUUGCCUGUCUCAACACUACAACCUUCAUAAUGGCAGAGGUGGUGUGAAAAUCUUCACGACUCGGGAUAAGGAAAUUGAAGUAACAGGAAGGUAACGUGACUUAACAUUGGGAGCAGGAAGCGAGACUCGCCUGGCCCUGCUAGGAGUUUCUCCCUAAGGAGGAGCAUGCAUGCAGUCUGUCCAACAACGCAGUGGGCACUGCAGAACCAGGUGAAAUCACCUGACUUACCCACUCCGGUGCCCUCCACUCCAGGGUCUGGGAAGAAGGUGGUUUGUGGGAGAUGGGGGGCAGGUGGCAGUUUUGGGGCUCUAAACCAUUUUAAAAGAGCAGCAGGGUAAGUGGUGAGCUCCCUAGGGACCAGGGUCAGUUUGUGGGCGUCCUACAAAGGAUCUAAGGCUUCAGGGAGUGGGCUGAUUGGGCCACCUUAGUUUUUCUGAGGGUUCGUUUCUUCCUUUCUCUUAAGGUACAUUCAACAACAGGAGAUGCAUACAGGACGGGGAGGCAUAUAAACCAGGUCCCUUCAGAUGUCCAUUGACCCGCAUCAGUCACCACGGAGUACACGGCACCUCCACCCCUGAAUUGAGCAUAGCAACAAUCAAGAUUGUAGGACUGCCCACAACUAUGGUGACAAGUGUAAACAUCCUUGCAUCCCAGGAAGAGAAAAGCAGGAGACGGUUAAGAAAGCUCCACAAUGAAGCAGAUCUCACUCCAGCUGCACUGCACCCUCUUCCUCCUCAGCUGACUGCAAUCUUGUUUUCCUCCACAAAAUGGGGGAACUGGUGCAUGGUCACCCCAUCGGGAACAGCAGGCUUCUCCAUGUUCCCGCUCAUGGCCGACUGAGAACCAUCGAGCUUGGAAAGUGUGGCGCUGCUCACGACAGAGCUGGCCCCCAGGGACACCGGCAGGGUGGGAAUGCCUCCACUCUGAAUCACAGAGAUCUCGUUGGUCUUCAUGGCCAGGCCCCCAUUGAGGACGCUGGUGUACUGGUUCCAUGUGGCAGGGUCCACGCUCACCGUGGGGGACAGGAGUUCCUUGGGAAAGGCCUCAGCCACUCUCUUUCCCUCUGCACUCAGGAUAGCCAUGGGGUUCUCCAUGGGCAGCUUCCUGCCCCUGCGGGCGGAGUUAUUGUUGGGCCCAUGCGUCAUGUAGUGUACCUGUGGAGGGGACAACAAAAAAAGUUUCAUCA